CGGCAGCACGGGGGCAACCCUGGUGGCGAGUGGCGAACGGGUGAGGAAUACAUCGGAACGUGUCUUUAAGUGGGGGAUAACGCAUCGAAAGGUGUGCUAAUACCGCAUAAUCUCUGAGGAGAAAAGCAGGGGAUCGCAAGACCUUGCGCUUUUGGAGCGGCCGAUGCCCGAUUAGCUUGUUGGUAAGGUAAAAGCUUACCAAGGCUUCGAUCAGUAGCUGGUCUGAGAGGACGGCCAGCCACACUGGGACUGAGACACGGCCCAGACUCCUACGGGAGGCAGCAGUGGGGAAUUUUGGACAAUGGGGGCAACCCUGAUCCAGCCAUGCCGCGUGAGUGAAGAAGGCCUUCGGGUUGUAAAGCUCUUUCAGCCGGAACGAAACGGUUACGGUUAAUACCCGUGACUAAUGACGGUACCGGAAGAAGAAGCACCGGCUAACUACGUGCCAGCAGCCGCGGUAAUACGUAGGGUGCGAGCGUUAAUCGGAAUUACUGGGCGUAAAGCGUGCGCAGGUGGUUUUGUAAGUCAGAUGUGAAAUCCCCGGGCUCAACCUGGGAACUGCGUUUGAAACUACAAGACUAGAGUGUGGCAGAGGGGGGUGGAAUUCCGCGUGUAGCAGUGAAAUGCGUAGAGAUGUG
rnacentral:rRNA from 1 species